GGAUUAUUGGUCUUAAAUCUAUUGCUAAAACUCAAAAUCAACAUGUUACAUUAUUUAAAUAUAUGUAAAAAGAAAGUAGUAGAAUUCAGGUAAAAUAACCUUACUAAUGUUGCUUCAAGAAAUCAACUAGCUUGUUCACAAGUUCAUCAGCUUUUUCCGAUUUAGGAUUAAAGAAAUGAAAGCAAUGGCCUUCUCCUUUCGUCUCCAUUACCUCAAUUUCUCCAUUCCACUCACUCUUCUUCAACCCCUCAUAAUAAUUCAUUGCCCCUUCUUUCAGAGGAUCUUUCUCCGCCACGAAAAACAGAGUUUUCUUACACGCCAUUGAUUUCAACCUUGGAUCUAUCAAUGGAUUUACCCUCGGAUCUUCGAAGCAUCCACCAUUUCUUGUCGGAUUCAAAGCCUUGUACAGUUUAUCGUUUUCGAUUCCGAAAUACGGAUGAACCAAAUAAAGCCCCAAAAUUUUGAUAUUCGAAUCGAGAUUAGUUACCCCUGCUCUAACAACAACGUCGUUAGCAAUAUUUGCUCCAGCACUUUCUCCACCAACAAACAGUUUAGCGAAAUCAGCGUGAUCAUUUAGCCAUGAAUCUGGACCUUUUCCAUUAGCAUGUGAAAUUACCCAUUGAAAU
rnacentral:misc_RNA from 1 species